ACCGCCACGGACGGCGGUGGUUCUAGUCUGUAGCGUAUUUGCUUUGCAAACACGUAGGUACGAAAUGUACAUGGAUGUACAUUUCGUACCGUGC
rnacentral:sRNA from 1 species